AGAAAUUACAUCCAAUCAACCUUCUCCAAAAGAACAUGAAUGAGAGAAGAAAAAUGGGAAAGGGAGGAAGAGACAGCUCAUUUCCAUCAAUAGAAUAUGCAGUACUCCAUGUCCAAACAAAGCCAUAUCAUGAACCAAGAAACCCCACCAUUAGAAAUCAUAAAUAUAAAAAAUCAGAAUCCUGCCUUCUAAUUUAAGUUCCUUACAAUAACUUAAUUAUAUAUGUAUAUAAUUAUCAUGAAAUUAAUGAAUAUAAUUAUGUAUGAAUAUGCAUAUAUGUAUAUUUUGAUGAUGGAAUCGGUGGGUGGGGGGACAAGAAAAUAAAAGGGCUCAAUAUAUAGGUGAUUUAACAAUAAAUACAAAGGAGUUGACAG
rnacentral:misc_RNA from 1 species